rnacentral:rRNA from 1 species
CCUACGGGAGGCAGCAGUGAGGAAUAUUGGUCAAUGGACGGAAGUCUGAACCAGCCAUGCCGCGUGCAGGAAGACGGCUCUAUGAGUUGUAAACUGCUUUUGUACAAGGGUAAACCUGAAUACGUGUAUUCAGCUGAAAGUACUGUACGAAUAAGGAUCGGCUAACUCCGUGCCAGCAGCCGCGGUAAUACGGAGGAUCCAAGCGUUAUCCGGAUUUAUUGGGUUUAAAGGGUGCGUAGGCGGAUUUUUAAGUCAGCGGUCAAAUCGUGGGGCUCAACCCCAUCCAGCCGUUGAAACUGGGGAUCUAGAGUGUGCGAGAGGUAUGCGGAAUUCGUGGUGUAGCGGUGAAAUGCUUAGAUAUCACGAAGAACCCCGAUUGCGAAGGCAGCCUGCCGCAGCGUUACUGACGCUGAAGCUCGAAAGCGCGGGUAUCGAACAGGAUUAGAUACCCGAGUAGUC